UGAGCAGAAGCGUCAUGGGGCUCUCCUGGGCAGAAGCUAAGAGCCACCAUUUGUUCACCAUGCGCUCAUUUCCUGUCUCUCUGACAGGCUGCCAUGCUCCAGUUUGUAGAUGUCCAUCCACCUGUGAAGGGCUGAGCCAAGCCCUGGGCAUGGGGCUUCAUCUCCUGUGUCAAUUCAGGCAAGAGGAAGAGAGAGGAGGAAGCUUCCAGAUCCAAGCCAGAGGAGGUGGAUGCAGCACCCAUCGCCCACAGCUUUGGGGCCUGGUCCAGCUUCUACCUGGCCGAGACACCCAACCCCAACCCCACCCACAUGGGCAUGCAGAAGAGUCUGAGACGGUGCACACUGACCUGCGGCAGAGUUUCAGGCGCACGCACGUACCCAUUAGUUCCUGUGUAGGAUGAUAAAUGCAGUGAGAGCUUGAUGAAGAUUUUGUGAAUGAAUCAGCACAGAGCCCUUCUCCUUGGCCAGGUGGGUCUGAUACGCAACAAAGGACCUGACUUCUUCCAUUUAGCACCUCUGGGGGAAUCAGUUUGUUGAAGCUUCAGUGGGGCUAUAGAUCCACGUGAUUCUUUCUUGAGAAAGCUCCUCUUGCUCAGGAUUGAUCUUAAAAAGCAAAAAUUAGGGGAAAAAAGAAGGGGACUAACUUUUGCUGAAUUUUGGGAAAUGGGGAUAGCAAUGCUAGAAACAAAGGGUAGGCAAGGGCCUGUCAGCCACCCUGCAAGGGAGUUGGGCGGCCAGAGGAGCCCAGUCCACCCUGAGCAGAGCCGUGGGCUGUGAACGCAGCAGGUGAUAG